UAAUUAAUUAAUUAAUCGGAGAACAGAACGCAGCACACCGGAUUUUAUCAUUCCCAUUUGUCUCGAAAUCCAACUGCCUGUUCGUCUCCUUUUAGCUCAGCUCAUCUUGCCCUUUAACCUUAACCAUAGUACCUUACCUUCUCUCCCUCUGUCGUCUUCUGAGACAUAGUAAUGAUGCUUAGGGCUCAAUUCCGAGUUCGUACAAUGGAUGGUUUCAGGGUUUUAAGGGAUGAAAGGAAUGCGAGAGGUUUGAUCCCGAAUUUAGGUGGGUGUUUUUCGAUUCAUUUCGGGUUCAAAAGAAGCCUAAGGUUACAGUGUCGCGGUGGUCGUAAAUCAAUCCUCAUCUAUUGUAAGUCUUCUCGUGGAAACUCUUCCAAUGGUGGUGGACAAUCUACCAAUGCCUACGAUGACCACGAUCACGACUUUCUCCAAGCUUCCGUUCUCAUUUCAGAAACUCUCUUACACUAUCGUAUGCUAAGGCAGGGAUUUCAAGAAGACAUGAGAUGGCGAUUACCUGGUAGAUGGAACCCGUUUGAUGUGCUGUCACAGGAAUCAAGACCUGAUAUGAGCUUUAUUGGAUACGAGUUUCUUCGUCGCUUCCAAAGUCCCACUAUUUUUCUUAAAGUUUCUUGUGAUGGAGACUUCUUGCUACCAAUUAUCGUUGGUGCGUCAAUAGGGGAAUUUGCCAUUGAGAAACUUAUAGAUAAUUUUCGGGAAGGUGAUCAUAAUGGGGAUUGUCCAGACCAGUUUCAGCUUGUGAGCAAUCUGGUGGAAAAACUUGGUUAUGAAGUAAAAAUGGUGAGAAUUACUGAGAGAGUGGUUAAUACUUACUUUGCAAGAGUAUAUUUUAGCAAGCUUGGGGAAAAUGAAAUUCUAAGCAUAGAUAUGCGGCCUUCUGAUGCCAUUAAUGUGGCAAACAAAUGCAAGGCCCCAAUUCAUGUAAGUAAACAAAUUGUCUUCACGGAUGCAAUAAGAAUUAGCUAUGGGAUGGGAAGAGUGCAUGAUAGGAAGACUACUUAUGAUGUCUCCCUUGACAGUCCUGCCGAUGGUCCAGAUUCAUUAUCUGAGGAACUUGACAUCGUGAAGAAUAUGAAUUUAGCUAUCCAAGAGGAAAGAUAUGGUGAUGCAGUCUUGUAGCCAUGUGGAGAGACAAACUGAUGGAGCUUCGCCAAUCAAGUCAUGAACAGUAGCUAUCUUUUAGGUCUUGAUGUAUUAGGAGUGUGCACUUUUGGCGUCUGGUUUCUUGCGAGUUCAUGGCUCUUCAUAUGUGCUCAGUCUAGACGUAGUUUCUAAUAAAAUGUUUGGCAUUGCAUUUCCAUAUGCUCAUGCAAGUGAGGAGGACAGUUUGAGGAACUCAUGAAUGGUCAAAGAAACUCAAACUCAAAAUAGUGGUACGUAAAGCUCAAACUUGCUUCAAGAACUGAGAUACUUGACGUGUAAAUUAGUAUCUACUGAUCCCUUGGAUUGUUCAAAAUCACAAAGAUGAUCAAUUCUCUCAUGGACCUGGAUUUUGUUGCUUCAAUUAGGAAGUAACAUCGAGAUAUAAAAUGUGUGCUGAUCAAGAAAGAAUGUAUCAACUUCCUUGUUAAUUCUGGUGACACUGACGCCAAAGGCUUCUUUGUUUAGAAGUCUUUCUACAAUGAAUAAGGUGAACCCAGCUGGUACAAUAUGACAAGAGUUUACGACUCUCUGUUAGGUUUUCUCUAUAUUCAUACUUUGCAGGAUACAUAAAAUUCCUGAGAGCUACCACUUGCGUCAUUCUGAUGUUUGCUGGCACUAACAUUCUCCUUCAAAAGAUUCAUAAAAAAAAUAUAUCAGAGGCCUCUUUAGUUUGACAAAAUUGUCAAGGAAGUGACAACGCCUUGAACAUUCGCCAAGAUUUAAUAUUUUACAAAUUGUCAUUGCUAAGAUUGAUGUAUUAUAGCGUGCUUGAAAUGUGAAUAUACUUGUGUACAGUUGUGGACUCAAAUUAAAUAUGAAAACUAAAACUUUUCUCGUUU